AUGACGUUGUACUUCUCUUUUGUUAUUUCAGCUUCCAUUAGUGAUACUGUUGUGAUGACCCAGACUCCAUUGUCAUUGAAUGUCGCCCCUGGAGAGCCAGCCUCCAUCUCCUGCAGGUCUAGCUACAGCCUCCUGUAUAAUGAUGGGAAUACUUAUUUGAAUUGGUAUCUGCAGAAGCAAGGCCAGUCUCCACAGCUCCUUAUCUAUGGUGCUUCCAAACUUGCAUCUGGAGUCCCAGAUAGGUUCAGUGGCAGUGGAACAGAGAAAGAUUUCACACUGAAAAUCAGUAAGGUGGAGGCUGAAGAUGCUGGGAUUUACUACUGCCUGCAAGCUUUAUAUGUUCCUCACACAGUGCUACAGAUUCUAUCAAAAACCUUCCUGUUUGACAUGGUCCAGCUGCUAAAUAUAUUGUUUGUCUAA